rfam:Bombyx mori DNA, contig: Bm_scaf8_contig6877, strain: p50T/Dazao, build 2, whole genome shotgun sequence.
GCUUCGGUAGUUCAAUGGAUAGAACGUCCGCUUUCAAAGUCGGAAACUCCAGGUUCGAGUCCUGGCCGGGGCC